rfam:Camelus ferus unplaced genomic scaffold scaffold105, whole genome shotgun sequence.
GAGGGUAUAGCUCAAGCGGUAGAGUGCCUGUUUAGCAUGCAGGAGGUCCUGGGUUCAAUCCCCGGUACCACCU